rnacentral:rRNA from 2 species
ACGGAGCCAUCCUUGAAAUACCACCCUUUAACGUUUGAUGUUCUAACCCAGACCCGUAAUCCGGGUCGGGGACCGUGUCUGGUGGGUAGUUUGACUGGGGCGGUCUCCUCCCAAAGAGUAACGGAGGAGCACGAAGGUUGGCUAAGCAUGGUCGGACAUCAUGCGGUUAGUGCAAAGGCAUAAGCCAGCUUGACUGCGAGAGUGACGGCUCGAGCAGGUACGAAAGUAGGUCUUAGUGAUCCGGUGGUUCUGAAUGGAAGGGCCAUCGCUCAACGGAUAAAAGGUACUCCGGGGAUAACAGGCUGAUACCGCCCAAGAGUUCAUAUCGACGGCGGUGUUUGGCACCUCGAUGUCGGCUCAUCACAUCCUGGGGCUGAAGUAGGUCCCAAGGGUAUGGCUGUUCGCCAUUUAAAGUGGUACGCGAGCUGGGUUUAGAACGUCGUGAGACAGUUCGGUCCCUAUCUGCCGUGGGCGCUGGAAGAUUGAGAGGGGUUGCUCCUAGUACGAGAGGACCGGAGUGAACGCACCACUGGUGUACGGGUUGUGAUGCCAAUUGCAUUGCCCGGUAGCUAAGUGCGGAAGAGAUAACCGCUGAAAGCAUCUAAGCGGGAAACUUGCCUCGAGAUGAGUCUUCCCUGAUUCCUAGAGAAUCCUGAAGGAACGUUUGAGACUAAGACGUUGAUAGGCUGGGUGUGUAAGUGCAGCGAUGUAUUGAGCUAACCAGUACUAAUGAACCGAGAGGCUUAACCUG